rnacentral:tRNA from 1 species
GCCUUCGUGGUGUAAUUUAAUAUAGUACACUCGGCUCGUAUUCGAGAGGUCAGAGGUUCGAGUCCCAGCUAGGGCA